UCUGCUUUAGUAUAAUUUAUUAUGUGGGCUUUUCGUGCCUAAGGUAGUGUAUCCACACUAAGCAGCA
rnacentral:tRNA from 1 species